UUGGCCCCAUGUGGGGAUUAAUUAUCAUGUUUUAUAGUCACAUAUUUAUUUGUUUGUUUUUACAAUAGAUUACAACUGGAGGAAUUCUAAAGAAUCCAGGUCUCCUUGUAAUGGUGACUAACUGCACUGUGCUCUCUGAACAGAGGAAAUCACUGAGUUGUUGCAGAAUAGCUGGGAUGGACAGCAAGGGUCAUUACUGUGGAGGCCUUGACCUUGAAGAAUCACUGAAGGGUGGAAGCAGCACAGGAAGGGCCUUUGUCUUGUUUCCAGGCCUUGCAUGGAUGGAGGGAUGGAAGGAUAAGAAGAAGCCUUUGGCAGAGAAUGGUGAAAGGUGACUAAUAACAUGAAACUGGGAGGAAACCUUCUAUAGCUAUGCAAUCUCCAGGUGGUUUUCUUCAUCUGUAAGAGGACACCUUGCAUUAGUUGUCCCACUGACAGUUGCUGCUUGUGCUGUCUUCUGAAUAGAAGCGUUAAAAAUCAUUUCUCUGCUUGACUUAAAGCUUAAUUUAACAUUGUAGCAAUGAGACUGCAACAGCACUUCAUUUCUUUCUCCUCUCUCUACAGAAUUUGUUUUAAAUUUACUUUGUCUUUACCCUUUCUUGUUGGUUCUUUUUCUGUCUUGUCUGGUAGUUUAGCCAACAUAAAGAAUUUUUUUUCAUUGUCAUGCGCUUGUUAGUCCCCAUAUCUCCUUUGUUCCAUAGUUUUCUGUGUCCCUCCUGCCAUACUUCCAAAGUUGUCAUGGACAAGCUCCUCUGAAUUUUGCUGUGGCAGUUUAGGAUGUUGCUCCUGUCUCAGCUAGUCCUUUGCCACAGGUUGCCACCAUUGUAGCAGAGCCAGCAGAUAGGAGUUUGUUCCUGCAYACGAUUGCACCAGGUUAUAAUUAGAUGUCUUAGCUCAAACCUAAGCCUAACAGUCCAGUUAUGUUAUUGGGCUUUGUGCUGGAGUGGCUGAUGUGCAGGCUGAUGUACAGUACUCCUGCUGACUCUGCUACAGGGCGGUAGCCUCUGGAACAGCAGCUUGCUGGAGAUGGUGGUUUAAACUGCUGGAGCAAGACUUGAUGGAGUUUUUCAAUGAAACCCCUCAGAUUCCUGAUUAGCGUGGCUGGAUUUUCCAGUGAACUGCAAUGAAUAGCUCCACCCACUGACCCAGGCUGGAUUUUGAUCUUCCAUUUUACAAGAAAACAACAAAUUUUAUGUUGUUGUAAACAUAUUCUCAGGAACUGAAUCUCACUAUAGUCCGUAAAAGAGUUCUGAAAAUAUGGGCUUGCUCCUCAACAAUUCUGCAGUCGCCAGUCUCUGAGAUGUUGUAUUCUGUGCUGAAAUAAGAUUCUAGGCCUGUAAAAGAGUUAGACUGCAUGGAGAUUAACAAAUCUGUUGCUAGUAUCUCUGGCUACUGCAGCAUGACUCACCCAUCAGUGCUUGUCAGUGUCUGGUGUGACCUCAUUGAAAGCUUCAGCAUCUCUUAUGUGAAGGUAGGUAGGUUGUAAUCCAGUGUGGGAAUCCUAAGGAGAUGGAAAGGGAAGUUCUGAGACUGUGAUAAUGCAUACAUCAUAAACGUUUYCCCCUAGAAACUGGAUGUGCCCGCACCAGAGAUUACCAUAAAAAUUCUCAUAGAUUCAUGAGGAUCUCUUAAUGCUAAGUCUGCCUUCCCCAUGCCUCUAUUCAAAAGCACCUGUAACUAUUCAAGACAGCAGUAGAAAUCARUGCUGAUGGGAAAACUGAGUAGGUGGAACAGGUUAGGGAGGAGAUACUCCUUUAUUUGCAAGGGCAAGAAACAGCUGAUGGUUCCUUUUUAUUUAGCACAGCUUUUAAGGCUUGGAAGAAGAUACUCUGUGUGUGUGUUUUGUUUUGUUUUUUCUUUUUUUCUUUUUCCAGUGCCUGUAGAUAGGGUUUCUGGCAUGCUGGUUGAGGGAAACAGGUGAGAAAAAGGAAGGAGGGACUGUAAUAAAGAGAGAGGGUGAGUGAAUUAGCUUGCGGUA
ensembl:lncRNA